CCAAAGGCUCUUUUAAGAGCCGCCCACACAUACUGUAAGAGCUUA
rnacentral:ncRNA from 1 species